CCAUCGGGAAGUCCACCGUGCUUAGAGCUCAUGCGUUGCCCCUGCGUACGCCCGAGUCCUACCCCAUUGUUGCGGGAAAAAAUAUCAGGAAGCUCAAUUUAAUAACAUCAGGAAGUUCAUUUUUAACCAAACUGGGCACCAUCGACCACAAGACCGGCGCCACAACUUCUCUGAACUGCCCAUGUUGUGGUGUCAUGGGAUGCCAGUGCUCUUUCCACAUUCAUGUACAAGAUGAAAAAGACGGACAGAGGAGUUCACUCAACUUGCCCAGUUGUGUGGCACUGAUGGAGGGCUCUAGUGCGGCCGCUCCGGCUCAUACUGGCGGCUCCUACUAGUACCGAACUUUCUAUUUUUCAGUGGUGAAAUGCUGCUCGUUAUAUUGAGUCGCUGCUGCUGGUUCAGUUUAGUCUGGGCUGUUCAUGCACCAACGGCUGCAACUGCGCCCAACAAAGACAUUGAACGGGAGAUGGAGCUUGAUAGCCACCGUCAAAAGUAAUUACAAUCUGACAGAUAUGUAGAAUAUUGUUGAUGUAUAUAUUUAGGCUGAGUAGUUCAUUUGAUCUAUGCACUCAUGUAUAUAAAAGUAGUGUGACAUGGGGAAAUCCAGGUUCACUUGUUCACAUAAAAUAGUUCACUUC